rnacentral:rRNA from 1 species
GAUGAACGCUGGCGGCGUGCCUAAUACAUGCAAGUCGAGCGAACAGACGAGGAGCUUGCUCCUUUGACGUUAGCGGCGGACGGGUGAGUAACACGUGGAUAACCUACCUAUAAGACUGGGAUAACUUCGGGAAACCGGAGCUAAUACCGGAUAACAUGUUGAACCGCAUGGUUCAACAGUGAAAGACGGUCUUGCUGUCACUUAUAGAUGGAUCCGCGCCGCAUUAGCUAGUUGGUAAGGUAACGGCUUACCAAGGCAACGAUGCGUAGCCGACCUGAGAGGGUGAUCGGCCACACUGGAACUGAGACACGGUCCAGACUCCUACGGGAGGCAGCAGUAGGGAAUCUUCCGCAAUGGGCGAAAGCCUGACGCAGCAACGCCGCGUGAGUGAAGAAGGUCUUCGGAUCGUAAAACUCUGUUAUUAGGGAAGAACAAAUGUGUAAGUAACUAUGCACGUCUUGACGGUACCUAAUCAGAAAGCCACGGCUAACUACGUG